rnacentral:rRNA from 1 species
AACGAACGCUGGCGGCAUGCCUAACACAUGCAAGUCGAACGAAGGCUUCGGCCUUAGUGGCGCACGGGUGCGUAACGCGUGGGAACCUGCCCCUCGGUUCGGAAUAACAGUUAGAAAUGACUGCUAAUACCGGAUGAUGACUUCGGUCCAAAGAUUUAUCGCCGAGGGAUGGGCCCGCGUAGGAUUAGCUAGUUGGUGGGGUAAAGGCCUACCAAGGCGACGAUCCUUAGCUGGUCUGAGAGGAUGAUCAGCCACACUGGGACUGAGACACGGCCCAGACUCCUGCGGGAGGCAGCAGUGGGGAAUAUUGGACAAUGGGCGAAAGCCUGAUCCAGCAAUGCCGCGUGAGUGAUGAAGGCCUUAGGGUUGUAAAGCUCUUUUACCAGGGAUGAUAAUGACAGUACCUGGAGAAUAAGCUCCGGCUAACUCCGUG